ACAGAGACCUAAGUUCACCAGAACAUUUCAGCCAGCUGAGAAUUUGUAGCACAGUCACCUUGCCAGGCCGUGUUUAAAGAAGAACUCUAUUCUUGAGAUAGGUGCAUGGAAAAGACAUAAAAAAACAUAAAUUUCUACACAGGAUUCCCUCUUCAUGCCAUCAUCCACCAUCCCCAGAAUAUAUAGUGGGUUGGUUUUUUUUGGUACCGGGGAUCGAACUUGGGACCUUGCGCUUGCGAGGCUGGCGCCAGAACCACUGAGCUAAAUCCCAGGCCCCUAUAUAGUGGUUUUUGAGGGAAGCCAAGUACUCAGAAAUUAGGGUCCAUUUAAACCAUGCAUGUCAUUAAAAACUAUAUAUGGACAUUAAUUUUUCAAGCUUCUAGUUUAUAUUUCAAGUGUUUCCAAAUCCAGUGAUGUUUCAAGUGAGUAAGUGAAGUAUAACUUCUAGAAGGGUGAAUGGUGCACCAACCCACUUUCAGUUAUUAGCAAAGGGCAGUGUUUUUUUUUUGGUACCAGGGAUCGAACUCGGGUCCUUUCCACUUGCACAGCAGGCAGCAAAACCACUGAGCUAAAUCCCCGGCCCUGGCAGUCUCUUUUGAGUGCUUACAGUAAGUCACACCAUGGCUGCCCUGUUUUCAAGGACAAGAUGGCCCUGUGGGUGGCUCUCAUCCACAGUCUCCCUGGUUUCUACAGACUUGUCUGUAGAAGAUGAAUCCCUUUAAAACAGGCAGAUAGGGAUGCAUCAGGGCAGAAUACUGUUUCACCCAACACCCUUUAUCUGACGUAUCGUGACAAACACAAUGUGCCAGCCAGGCACUUCCCAACUCCUUUUGUGAUGGCUGCGCUUGAGGAACCUGCAGGCUGGAGACCAGCUGCCCUUGUGGACAGUCUUUCUGGGCACAUACGACCUGCUCUAAGACCCUGCAAGCCUGCUCCCUGUCUAGCACUGCCUCCUUCCCCUGCAGAGGUUGCUUAUAUAGUCCCAGGGCUGAUCACCUGUUCUAAUCUGAUUACUCUGUUUCCAUUAAAGCUAUCAACAAAGAACUCAAAGUGAGCCUGUGUGCCACCGAACUGGCCUCUCAAGCCUGGACAUCAGUCACCAACACUUUCUUGGACAGGUCCCUAAAAAUCAAGAAUCAGUCCAGAUGGAACUUAUUGUUUGUAAUGAACAUAAACAUAAUUCUGAUUUGCUCCUUUGGACUGCUGAAGAGAGAACAGGGAUAUGCUCAUAGAAAAAUACCAGGCCGAGGUCCAGGAGACAGGAUGCAGAGCCCACACUGUUGGUCACGCCAGGUACUUGGGCAUGUCACUUUCUCUGUCUCUGCUUCCUAUCUGCAGAAUGCAGGUAACGAUUUCUGCCAAGUUCUCUCC
rnacentral:lncRNA from 1 species